GGUUAUAGCUCAGUGGUAGAAUGCUUGCCUAGCAUGUAUGAGGCACUGGGUUCGAAACUCAGCACCA
rnacentral:tRNA from 1 species